CCUACGGGAGGCACCAGUGGGGAAUAUUGCACAAUGGGCGCAAGCCUGAUGCAGCCAUGCCGCGUGUAUGAAGAAGGCCUUCGGGUUGUAAAGUACGUUCAGCGGGGAGGAAGGUGUUGUGGUUAUUAACCGCAGCAAUUGACGUUACCCGCAGAAGAAGCACCGGCUAACUCCGUGCCUCCUGCCGCGGUAAUACGGAGGGUGCAAGCGUUAAUCGGAAUUACUGGGCGCAAAGCGCACGCAGGCGGUCUGUCAAGUCGGAUGUGAAAUCCCCGGGCUCAACCUGGGAACUGCAUUCGAAACUGGCAGGCUAGAGUCUUGUAGAUGGGGGUAGAAUUCCAGGUGUAGCGGUGAAAUGCGUAGAGAUCUGGAGGAAUACCGGUGGCGAAGGCGCCCCCCUGGACAAAGACUGACGCUCACGUACGAAAGCGUGGGGAGCAAACAGGAUUAGAUACCCUCGUAGUC
rnacentral:rRNA from 1 species